GACGAACGCUGGCGGCGUGCUUAACACAUGCAAGUCGAACGGAAAGGCCCUGCUUUUGUGGGGUGCUCGAGUGGCGAACGGGUGAGUAACACGUGAGUAACCUGCCCUUGACUUUGGGAUAACUUCAGGAAACUGGGGCUAAUAACGGAUAGGAGCUCCUGCUGCAUGGUGGGGGUUGGAAAGUUUCGGCGGUUGGGGAUGGACUCGCGGCUUAUCAGCUUGUUGGUGGGGUAGUGGCUUACCAAGGCUUUGACGGGUAGCCGGCCUGAGAGGGUGACCGGACACAUGGGGGCUGAGUUACAGCCCAGACUCCUACGGUGGGCAGCAGUGGGUAAUAUUGCACAACGGGCCGAAGCCUGAUGCAGCAACGCCGAGUGCGGGCUGACGGCCUUCGGGUUGUAAACCGAUUUCGCCUAGGACGAAGCGUGGGUGACGGUACUGGCUAAAGAAACACCGGCUAACUACGUG
rnacentral:rRNA from 1 species